AUUGCAACUUAUUUAUUGGAGAGGUGUUGCCAAGCAAGGAACAAUACAGUGCAGAGAUUCGGCCUGCCACUGGAAUCAUUAGUAUUUUGGGGCAUGGGGCAGUACUGCAGGCAAAGGUGAAUUAUCGGUGCUUUGAAGAUAGCUUGGUCCAAAUUCUUCCUUCAGAUAACUCCACUACUUCAGCUGAGAGACCAGUCUACAGAAUUAUUGCAUGGAUGCAGAGGCUGUGACAGUGAUGAGAUGAGAACCCUCCCAAGCAAGCUGCAUUUCCAAGAAAGAUUUUGAAUGGCCAAAAGAAAAUCACUUUGAUGCAUACAGUUCAGAAUACCUCGGCUAUAUUUGGAGGUCUCCACAGAUGCAGCAAAUCUGUUGGCCAUUGCUAGGGGAAAAACAGGAGCAAGAGACACAUGGACCUUUUCUCACUGGAGUCCUUUUGCUGAGCUCUAAUUUUCUCUUGUGAAACAAAACCCUGGUUAACACCUUAACCGUGGUGCUGCUAAAGAAUGGUUCCAUGUUCAGGGUAAUUUUUGUUUAACUCAAACCAAGCUUCAUCAAUUUUCUUCAAACAUUUUGGGGAAAAACCCAGUUGGGUGCCAAUCAAAAUAAAUAUAU